rnacentral:rRNA from 1 species
UACGAAGGGGGCUAGCGUUGUUCGGAAUUACUGGGCGUAAAGCGCACGUAGGCGGCUUUCUAAGUCGGGGGUGAAAUCCUGGAGCUCAACUCCAGAACUGCCUUCGAUACUGGAAAGCUCGAGUCCGGGAGAGGUGAGUGGAACUGCGAGUGUAGAGGUGAGAUUCGUAGAUAUUCGCAAGAACACCAGUGGCGAAGGCGGCUCACUGGCCCGGUACUGACGCUGAGGUGCGAAAGCGUGGGGAGCAAACAGG